rnacentral:rRNA from 1 species
CUACGGAGGGUGCAAGCGUUACUCGGAAUCACUGGGCGUAAAGCGCGCGCAGGCGGGCUGAUAAGUUGGAUGUGAAAGCCUACGGCUCAACCGUAGAACUGCAUCCAAAACUGUCAGUCUAGAGUGUGGGAGAGGAAGAUGGAAUUAGUUGUGUAGGGGUAAAAUCCGUAGAGAUAACUAGGAAUACCAAAAGCGAAGGCAAUCUUCUGGAACACUUCUGACGCUGAGGCGCGAAGGCGUGGGGAGCAAACAGGAUUAGAAACCCCAGUAGUCC